GGGGUUGUGGCUCAGUGGUAGAGUACUUGCCUCGAAUUCAUGGGACACUGGGUUCGAUCCUCAGCACCA
rnacentral:tRNA from 1 species